rnacentral:rRNA from 1 species
AUUGAACGCUGGCGGCAGGCUUAACACAUGCAAGUCGAGCGGGGUGAUGGUGCUUGCACUAUCACUCAGCGGCGGACGGGCGAGUAAUGCUUAGGAAUCUGCCUAUUAGUGGGGGACAACAUCUCGAAAGGUAUGCUAAUACCGCAUCCGCCCUACGGGAGAAUGCAGUGGAUCACUUUUUACAUUGCACGAAUAGAUAACCCUCGGUCUGAUUAGGUAGUUGGUGGGGUAAAGGCAUACAAAGGCGACGAUCUGAAGCGGGUCUGAGAGGAUGAUCAGCAACACUGGGACUGAGACACGGCCCAGACUCCUACGGGAUGCAGCAGUUGUGAAUAUUGGACAAUGGGGGGAACCCUGAUCCAGCCAUGCCGUGUGUGUGAAGAAGGCCUUAUGGUUGUAAAGCACUUUAAGCGAGGAGGAGGCUCUUUUGGUUAAUACCCAAGAUGAGUGGACGUUACUCGCAGAAUAAGCACCGGCUAACUCUGUGCCAGCCGCCGCGGUAA